rnacentral:rRNA from 1 species
UGGGACAGAGGGAAUCAGCAUAAUUUUUUGUGGUGCAUUUACUUGAUUGGUGCUUGGGGAUGUUUGAGGCAGAUUUGUUUCCGUCGUUUUGAGGCCAGCUUGCUGGUACCCAAACGGUGUUAGCAUUUUUUGUCUUGGGCAUUUGAGUAUGGCUCACGUGUAUUUAUUGGACAGAUCUGAGUGUAAGUUACGGUCGCAUGCGACACGUGCUUUUCAAUUAGUUCGGUCCAGUUAAUGCUCUCGUACUCGUUCCCCAUGUAAAAGCCGGUCAUCUAUCCGACCCGUCUUGAAACACGGACCAAGGAGUUUAUCGUGUGCGCAAGUUUUUGGGUGUUAAAAACUUAAAAGCGAAAUGAAAGUAAAUGACUCUUUAGAGUCUGAUGUGCGAUCUUGUAAAAAAGUGUAGCAUGGCCCCAUUCUAACUGUUUACAGUAGGGUGGCGGAAGAGCGUACGCGGUGAGACCCGAAAGAUGGUGAACUAUUCCUGAGCAGGACGAAGCCAGAGGAAACUCUGGUGGAAGUCCGAAGCGGU